rnacentral:rRNA from 1 species
UAGGGAAUCUUCGGCAAUGGACGGAAGUCUGACCGAGCAACGCCGCGUGAGUGAAGAAGGUUUUCGGGUCGUAAAGCUCUGUUGUAAGAGAAGAACGAGUGUGAGAGUGGAAAGUUCACACUGUGACGGUAUCUUACCAGAAAGGGACGGCUAACUACGUGCCAGCAGCCGCGGUAAUACGUAGGUCCCGAGCGUUGUCCGGAUUUAUUGGGCGUAAAGCGAGCGCAGGCGGUUAGAUAAGUCUGAAGUUAAAGGCUGUGGCUUAACCAUAGUAGGCUUUGGAAACUGUUUAACUUGAGUGCAAGAGGGGAGAGUGGAAUUCCAUGUGUAGCGGUGAAAUGCGUAGAUAUAUGGAGGAACACCGGUGGCGAAAGCGGCUCUCUGGCUUGUAACUGACGCUGAGGCUCGAAAGCGUGGGGAGCAAACAGGAUUAGAUACCCUGGUAGUCCACGCCGUANCGAUGAGUGCUAGGUGUUAGACCCUUUCCGGGGUUUAGUGCCGCAGCUAACGCAUUAAGCACUCCGCCUGGGGAGUACGACCGCAAGGUU